rnacentral:lncRNA from 1 species
CUUCUCACAAGGCAACCUGAAUCAAAGGGAAAGCGACUCUUUAAAGAGAAAGAAACGAUAACAGUUUCUCUCUUGGGGCUGAAGAUGACGCUCAUGGAUGUAUUUUUUUCACUAUCAAUACGUUUCCCAUUUCACUUCUAGAUAGUAGAGCUACUUUCUAUCGCAUAUCUAUGUGGACAUCCUCUCUCCAUAAAGGAGAAGGAGGACUCAGAGUGCAGCCCAUUGUCCCUGAAGAUGACAUGGUAUAUCUCUAAAAGAUUUUUAAAAUUCAUCGGUCUGUUAUAAAAUUAUAAAGUAGCCAAUUCUCACUUUCCAGGCAAUUACCACUCAAUAUAGGAGAGUAUAUAAAAGGCGUAAAAUUCUAACAUGAGCGGAAAUUAGUGAAUCCUUCUGGCAACCCGCUGGUUCAGCAGGAACCUGAAAGGAUGGUUAUGACCUGUGGUGGUCAGACUGUGCCUGCAGGUGGUGCAAAGGCUAGCAGGUCGUCAGGCUGCCCACACUGGAAUAUCCACUAUGGAGCAUCCAUUCCAUAAGAGCUGAGCUCCUGUCCAUCUCGGUCCCGACUGCAUCCCGACUGAUCCUUGGGACAAUGCCUGGAUCCCCUACGUGGCCGGCAGCAGUACAGAAUGAUAAACUCCUAGUGAAGGGAAGCUGAUCUCCCCAAAAUGCAGAUGCGUUUACCCUUUGAUGCAGCGACCCCACUUCUGGGCAUUUCCUUUACAGAUUCAAUUGCACGUAUACGAUAACAUGUGCACAAAAGUAUUUACUGUGACUUUGUUUGUAUUAUAAUAACAAAAGGUUAUAAACAACCCACGCCCAUCAGUAGAAAAUGAGUUGAAUAAACUAUGGUACAUAUGGAAAUGGAAUGCUAUACAGCUGUUAAAAAUAUUGCAGAAGAUAUCUAUGUGCAGACAAGGACAGAUCCGGGGACAAAGAAUAUACAUAGAGUGCUUUCUAACACACAAAGUGAGAUUUAUAUAUUUAUAUUUGCUUAUAAAUAAAAAAUAAGGAACAAUAGCUACCAGUGGGGGAGUCUUCUUAGUUUAUAUCUUUUUAUCUAAUUUUGAACUUUGAGCUGUGUAAACGUAUUAUGUAUUGAAAAAAGAAUGGUGCCUGGCACAUGGCAGAUGCUCAGCUAAUUGUGUUGAAAGAAAGCAGGGAUUAGUGAAUGAACAUAUGACUUUGAUGAGAAAGACAAGUGACUAGACAUGUUGAGGCCGCCAUGGUAGCCCGCUGCGAGAGGAACUAACAGCUCCCUCAGCCUGGGGGGAUGAGAGUCACGCAUUACUCAGUGUGCUGAAGAGUGUCCCUAAGGGAGGACCUUAUGGUUAUAGGAGCAGGUCUGAGUCUACGGCUCUGCGUGCGGGUGGUCCUCAAGGUCAAGGUGAGUCUACUAGGCAGGCAUUCAUUCGUUAUUCGUUCAUCCACUCAAGAAAUCCUUGCUGGGUGUUACUUUGUGCAAGGUCGUGCACUGAGGGCUGUGGACAUCAGGAGAACUGGGCAGCUGUGAUCCCCGUCCUCUGGGAGCUCACAGUCCAAGGCACACAGGAGUCGAAGGUGUAUCCUGAGCCCGCACCCCUCCGUUUGGCUUUAGCCUGUCCCGCUCUCCUUUGGAUGAGUCUCCUGGGGACAGAGGGGUGGAAUAAAGAGGAAAUCAAAUACUAAUUUGCAGAAUUAUAGUGAAGUUGUGAGUACGGAGCAGAGGGAGUUUGUUACCCUGGAACAGGGCAUGCUAACUCAUGGGGGCCUGAACUUCCCACCUCUUUAACUCCUUUGUGGGCAAAAGAAACUUCUAGGUCAUUGGAACAGACUGGAAGGAAGCAUCCUGUUGGCAGUGUUGGGGUACUGUACGUGGCAGUAGGGAAACAGAGACUCGUGGUUUUCCUGGGGGCUCCUGAGCCUCCCAAGAGCCAGCAGACCCCACGGCAACGUGGAGAACACCCGCUGUUGUCAACAUUUACGAGGCGCACUCCACGUGGUCUUCUGCUUUGGGCGAAGGAAAGGGUUUUUGAGGGUCACCGUCCAGUGGUCUCUCCUGAUCUGGAAGCACAGAAAUGUAGUUUGUUAUGUUUAUUGUAAGCUGACCAAAUUCACAAGAUGAUAACCUGGAAAUGACCGGUGACAAAUGACUUAACCUUGUCCCUUCCCAAAAUGAAAGAAAUCUGUGCGCUCAGUUGAGAGCCGACCUUCUAUUAAAGAUGCAUGUUCGAGAUGCAUUUCAAAAUCGUGGCAGUAACCCUGAUCCGAUGGAAAGACUUCCUUGUGAUCUUGCCUCUGGAGUUCAUUUUUGGGAACAGAAUGAACCUGGAAGCAAAGCAAGAGUAUGAGUAUAAAAAGAUGGCGGAGGGACAGACUGUUCUUGGCACGAAAUUGCAGCCAUUUUAAUGAUUCAGUUAGAGCAAAUUUAAAUUAAUAACACCCCUUUCUAUCAUAAGUGUUUUGGUGACCCACAGCCCAAGGAAAUGAUCAAAAUCAAUGAUAGUAUUUCCAAGAGUAAUUUACAGUCUACAGUUUUCAGAUGCUUCAGUCCGUUUAUGCUUCACCAAAUCCCGUAAGGAGACACUACCCUCUCCGUUUAAUGAUGAGUCAAGAGUUCCGGGCCUCGCCCGGGGGGCACUGUGCUCACAGGUGAGGGAGGCAGAACUUGAAUUUGAUCCUUUUUGGCACUGGAGCUUCUGCACUUUCCACCACGCCACACGCGCAAUGUCAGCAUGGUACCUCUGCCUGGUGAGCCUCCUCACCUUCUGAUGACACUCACUCACUACAAAGGCCACCGUGUGUAUGGAGGUAGAACUUUGAACUUGACCUGCUGUAGAUGUGCCGGCCUCUGGGCAGCAGGAAGAGAGAAGUGAAAAGUGGCUGACCUUCUGCUCUUCUCAUCCUCGGCGUGAAGUCACCGCCGUUGUAAUCGUUCCAUCGAGCUCUCGCUAAUGGAGAAGAUGAGUGUCCCCAGGGCAGAGGCUGUCGCUGUCUCAUUGACUGUUGUGCACAUUGCCUAGACCACAGCUGGAUGCUGAAUGAGGACCCUUGAGACCAAACAUUAGAAUUCCUGGGAGCAGAGGAGGAGAAAGCAGAGGAGCCUGCCUCCAGAUCUUAUUCUUAGGCUGAAUAAUCUUCCGUUGUAUGUAUGGACUACAUUUUGCUCAUCCAUUCAUCUCUUGAUGGACAUCCGGGUUGCUUCCACUUUGGCCUAUUAGACAACAUUUUAUAUGCUUGACCUCAGUCAGAAUUCAAAUCUGGUGAACAGGAAGGAGGAAAUGGGAAGACCUGCGUGCUGAAUUAUCAUCUUUGGCGGAUAAAGUCAUCUGACUUUUGAGGCAGAACAAAUGAGUGGCAUGUCUAUCUCAUAAACACUGAAGAGAAGAGAAGGCUGCUCCAAUUUUAACGCUUUAUGCUUAGUGUUUUGGAAAUAGCAGCAAGACUGGAAGCACUGUGCUAAAAAUGGAGCUUCUGAGACAGCCCUCCUCUCCCUUAUUUCGCUUCCAGGAGAUAAGUAAGGGAGCGCAACGUUUCCCAAACGGGAAGCCCGUGAAAGAUGUGGAUCUGGUCAAUAAAUCUUUCAAGAGCUAUAUUUUAUUCAUGACUCCUACACAGUUUUCCUUAUAAAUCUACUCAACCUAUAUAUUUUUCCCCUGUUGCAAAUUCUAACACUAUGAAUAAAG